rnacentral:rRNA from 1 species
UACGUAGGGGGCAAGCGUUGUCCGGAAUCAUUGGGCGUAAAGCGCGUGUAGGCGGCUUCGUAAGUCCGUUGUGAAAGUCCAGGGCUCAACCCUGGAAUGCCGAUGGAUACUGCGGAGCUAGAGUACGGAAGAGGCGAGUGGAAUUCCUGGUGUAGCGGUGAAAUGCGCAGAUAUCAGGAGGAACACCAAUGGCGAAGGCAGCUCGCUGGGACGUUACUGACGCUGAGACGCGAAAGCGUGGGGAGCGAACAGG